rnacentral:rRNA from 1 species
CUACGGGACGCUCCAGUGGGGAAUAUUGGGCAAUGGGCGAAAGCCUGACCCAGCAACGCCGCGUGAGGGAAGAAGGUUUUCGGAUUGUAAACCUCUGUCCUUGGUGACGAAGGAAGUGACGGUAGCCAAGGAGGAAGCCCCGGCUAACUACGUGCCAGCAGCCGCGGUAAUACGUAGGGGGCAAGCGUUGUCCGGAAUGACUGGGCGUAAAGGGCGUGUAGGCGGCCGAUUAAGUCUGGAGUGAAAGUCCUGCUUUCAAGGUGGGAAUUGCUUUGGAGACUGGUUGGCUUGAGUGCGGAAGAGGUAAGUGGAAUUCCCAGUGUAGCGGUGAAAUGCGUAGAGAUUGGGAGGAACACCAGUGGCGAAGGCGACUUACUGGGCCGUAACUGACGCUGAGGCGCGAAAGCGUGGGGAGCGAACAGGAUUAGAUACCCUGGUAGUC